rnacentral:rRNA from 1 species
CGCCGCCCCCGCCCGCCUUACGGGAGGCAACAGUGGGGAAUUUUGACAAUGGGCGCAACCCUGAUCCAGCAAUGCCGCGGUGAGGGGAAGAAGGCCUUCGGGUUGUAAAGCUCUUUUGUCAGGGAAAGAAACUGGCUGUGGCUAAUACCCACGGCUAAUGACGGUACCUGAAGAAUAAGCACCGGCUAACUACGUGCCAGCAGCCGCGGUAAUACGUAGGGUGCAAGCGUUAAUCGGAAUUACUGGGCGUAAAGCGUGCGCAGGCGGUUUUGUAAGUCAGACGUGAAAUCCCCGGGCUUAACCUGGGAAUUGCGUUGGAGACUGCAAGGCUGGAGUCUGGCAGAGGGGGGUAGAAUUCCACGUGUAGCAGUGAAAUGCGUAGAUGAUGUGGGAGGAACACCGAUGGCGAAGGCAGCCCCCUGGGCCAAGACUGACGCUCAUGCACGAAAGCGUGGGGAGCAAACAGGAUUAGAUACCCCUGGUAGUCCACGCCCUAAACGAUGUCUACUAGGUUGUCGGGUAUACGGACCGGUAACGCAGCUAACUCGUGAAGAGGCCGCCUGGGGACGUCG